rnacentral:tmRNA from 1 species
GGGGAUGCAUUGCAUCGACGAGAAUGCACUUUUAAAAACAGCAAGCCGACAACGAUUGAAAGUCGUAAAAUUCGAUCAAAAUAUAAAUGCUGUUAAAACCAGCAGAGAGGCACUCUUAGCAGAAAAAGAAGCAAUUCUUUCAAUGCUUAAAAAUGCCUUUAGACAACCAGCUCUUGCUGGGGUAAGCAAUUACCUUAGUUAAGCUUUAGUCUUGUUUAUAAGGUCUUUUCUCAAUGGGACUUUAUGAGCACAAACACAGUUGAGAGAAUAGUAAGGGGAGUUGGUUUCUGUCCUUAUCGUAUUUAUCAACCUUGGCGCUAUUAAUUCUUGUUGAUUAGAAAAAAGUAGCGUAACCUAAAAUAAUCAACUAAGCUUGUAGGCGUUUUUUUAGUAAUUUCUUGCACUCGAGUUCAUGGCUCGACAUCUCCACCA